UGUGUUAUUCGUCUUGAUCUAAAUAAAAUCAUCAUCAAAGCUCAAGUAGUUGUGAACAAAAGUACUCUGAUUGUUGUCAUACGUACCACGAAAAUGGCUCGACUUCUCUGUUUAGUUGUUCUGUUGACCUUGACAAUUAUCCAAACUACGGACGCAAUCGCAAAGGACUGCCAAGACAAAGAAUAUUUAGACCGAUGUGGCCCUAAUGAUGAAGGCAUAUGCACGUGUCCGAACCUAAAUGUGAACACGUUUCUAAAUUCUGGAAAAACUCCAUGCAACAAUCUUGUCUGCAGAAAACCGUGAUGAUCAAAGUGGAUACAGCCAACUUAUUUGAUAUUUCUGAUGAACUGACCUAGCUAAUAAAAUAGCAUACAAGCAUUA